rnacentral:rRNA from 1 species
AGAGUUUGAUUAUGGCUCAGGACGAACGCUGGCGGCGUGCCUAAUACAUGCAAGUCGAACGAAGCUUUCUCUCACCGAAUGCUUGCAUUCACCGAAAGAAGCUUAGUGGCGAACGGGUGAGUAACACGUAGGCAACCUGCCCAAAAGAGGGGGAUAACACUUGGAAACAGGUGCUAAUACCGCAUAACCAUGAACACCGCAUGAUGUUCAUGUAAAAGACGGCUUUUGCUGUCACUUUUGGAUGGGCCUUCGGCGUAUUAACUUGUUGGUGGGGUAACGGCCUACCAAGGUGAUGAUACGUAGCCGAACUGAGAGGUUGAUCGGCCACAUUGGGACUGAGACACGGCCCAAACUCCUACGGGAGGCAGCAGUAGGGAAUCUUCCACAAUGGACGAAAGUCUGAUGGAGCAACGCCGCGUGAAUGAAGAAGGCCUUCGGGUCGUAAAAUUCUGUUGUCAGAGAAGAACGUGCGUGAGAGUAACUGUUCACGUAUUGACGGUAUCUGACCAGAAAGCCACGGCUAACUACGUGCCAGCAGCCGCGGUAAUACGUAGGUGGCGAGCGUUGUCCGGAUUUAUUGGGCGUAAAGGGAAUGCAGGCGGUCUUUUAAGUCUGAUGUGAAAGCCUUCGGCUUAACCGAAGUAGUGCAUUGGAAACUGGAAGACUUGAGUGCAGAAGAGGAGAGUGGAACUCCAUGUGUAGCGGUG